AGCGGCGGAUGGGUGAGUAACACGUGGGGAACCUGCCCCUAAGUCUGGGAUACCAUUUGGAAACAGGUGCUAAUACCGGAUAAUAAAGCAGAUCGCAUGAUCAGCUUUUGAAAGGCGGCGUAAGCUGUCGCUAAGGGAUGGCCCCGCGGUGCAUUAGCUAGUUGGUAAGGUAACGGCUUACCAAGGCGACGAUGCAUAGCCGAGUUGAGAGACUGAUCGGCCACAUUGGGACUGAGACACGGCCCAAACUCCUACGGGAGGCAGCAGUAGGGAAUCUUCCACAAUGGACGCAAGUCUGAUGGAGCAACGCCGCGUGAGUGAAGAAGGUUUUCGGAUCGUAAAGCUCUGUUGUUGGUGAAGAAGGAUAGAGGUAGUAACUGGCCUUUAUUUGACGGUAAUCAACCAGAAAGUCACGGCUAACUACGUGCCAGCAGCCGCGGUAAUACGUAGGUGGCAAGCGUUGUCCGGAUUUAUUGGGCGUAAAGCGAGCGCAGGCGGAAAAAUAAGUCUAAUGUGAAAGCCCUCGGCUUAACCGAGGAACUGCAUCGGAAACUGUUUUUCUUGAGUGCAGAAGAGGAGAGUGGAACUCCAUGUGUAGCGGUGGAAUGCGUAGAUAUAUGGAAGAACACCAGUGGCGAAAGCGGCUCUCUGGUCUGCAACUGACGCUGAGGCUCGAAAGCAUGGGUAGCGAACAGGAUUAGAUACCCUGGUAGUCCAUGCCGUAAACGAUGAGUGCUAAG
rnacentral:rRNA from 1 species